AAAGUAUUUAUAUGCUGAUGACUCAACUUUUGCAGCCGUGUCUGCAGCAAGACCAGGAAAUAUACUGUUGAACCCUCUUAUGACAACAACUUUGAUGUGAAGGGCCAGAAUAGCUCAUUCUGCCUGCUGUGAUUCAGAAAGCCGGAGCUGUAAUCCUGGAUCUCUGCACAAUGCACUCACAAGAGCUUCCGAGCUCAUCAAAGGACAUCAGAAAUACAAGGGUCCUGCAGGACACAUGCAUUUCUGGGAUUUGCAAGUUCAAAACUAAUACAGCACAGCAGAAGAGGCCUUUUAAUCCUGCUUAUUAGCAGAAGGGAGUUUCUGACAUAACCCAAAGGCUCUGGCAGACAGACACCACACAGCUGAAGAACAGACACUGCAACACAAUGGAUUCCAAGCACUGAUACCUCUGGCAAAUGAGCUCCACUGGAGAAGCAGCAUUCUUAUUUUCAGGAAAGAAGCCACCUUACUCAGACUAAUACUUACCCUUCUGAAGACAUGU